rnacentral:misc_RNA from 1 species
GAUGAAGAACGUAGUGAAAUGCGAUAAUUAAUGUGAAUUGCAGAAUUCAGUGAAUCAUCGAGUCUUUGAACGCACAUUGCGCCCCCUGGUAUUCCGGGGGGCAUGCCUGUCCGAGCGUCAUUGCUGCCCUCAAGCACGGCUUGUGUGUUGGGCUUCCAUCCCUGGCAACGGGGACGGGCCCAAAAGGCAGUGGCGGCACCAUGUCUGGUCCUCGAGCGUAUGGGGCUUUGUCACCCGCUCCCGUAGGUCCAGCUGGCAGCUAGCCUCGCAACCAAUCUUUUUAACCAGGUUGACCUCGGAUCAGGUAGGGAUACCCGCUGAACUUAAGCAUAUCAAUAAGCGGAGGA